CUACGGGAGGCUCCAGUGAGGAAUAUUGCACAAUGGGGGGAACCCUGAUGCAGCAACGCCGCGUGAGGAUGACGCAUUUCGGUGUGUAAACUCCUUUUAUAUGUCAAGAAAAUGACGGUAGCAUAUGAAUAAGCACCGGCUAACUCCGUGCCAGCAGCCGCGGUAAUACGGAGGGUGCAAGCGUUACUCGGAAUCACUGGGCGUAAAGGACGCGUAGGCGGGUUGGAAAGUCAGGUGUGAAAUCCUACAGCUUAACUGUAGAACUGCACUUGAAACUUCUAAUCUAGAGUAUGGGAGGGGGAGAUGGAAUUAGUGGUGUAGGGGUAAAAUCCGUAGAUAUCACUAGGAAUACCUAAAGCGAAGGCGAUCUCCUGGAACAUUACUGACGCUAAGGCGUGAAAGCGUGGGGGGCAAACAGGAUUAGAUACCCCGGUAGUC
rnacentral:rRNA from 1 species